rnacentral:ncRNA from 1 species
AUUUUGUACCAAUCCUUUGCCGAAAGUCCGUUCGCCGAUUAGCACCGCUCUGUCAAAAUCUUGCAGUGAGCCGGAGACAAUUUCAGAGGCAGAAGCACUAUUUCUAUUUACCAAAACAACUAUUGGGAUUUGGUUGUCCAAGGCGGUUUUGGAAGUGGCAAAAGUUUGUGUUUGUUUUGGAUUUUUGCCUUUGGUGGUUACAAUUAUGUUGCCUUUGUCAAUAAACAAAUUGACAAUGUCAAUAGCUUCGUUGAGCAAACCGCCACCGUUGUCUCUU